UACGUAGGGGGCAAGCGUUGUCCGGAAUUAUUGGGCGUAAAGCGCGCGCAGGCGGUUCUUUAAGUCUGGUGUUUAAGUGCGGGGCUCAACCCCGUGACGCACUGGAAACUGGGGAACUUGAGUGCAGAAGAGGAGAGCGGAAUUCCACGUGUAGCGGUGAAAUGCGUAGAGAUGUGGAGGAACACCAGUGGCGAAGGCGGCUCUCUGGGGCGUUCCUGACGCUGAGGUUCGAAAGCUCGGGGAGCAAACAGG
rnacentral:rRNA from 1 species